AACAAAUGAAUCAAAACUUUCAACAACGGAUCUCUUGGUUCUGGCAUCGAUGAAGAACGCAGCGAAAUGCGAUAAGUAAUGUGAAUUGCAGAAUUCAGUGAAUCAUCGAAUCUUUGAACGCACAUUGCGCCCGCCAGCAUUCUGGCGGGCAUGCCUGUUCGAGCGUCAUUU
rnacentral:rRNA from 1 species